ACGAACGCUGGCGGCAUGCCUAACACAUGCAAGUCGAACGAGACCUUCGGGUCUAGUGGCGCACGGGUGCGUAGCGCGUGGGAACCUGCCCUUAGGUUCGGAAUAACUCCCCGAAAGGGGUGCUAAUACCGGAUAAUGUCUUCGGACCAAAGAUUUAUCGCCUUUGGAUGGGCCCGCGUUGGAUUAGCUAGUUGGUAGGGUAAAAGCCUACCAAGGCGACGAUCCAUAGCUGGUCUGAGAGGAUGAUCAGCCACACUGGGACUGAGACACGGCCCAGACUCCUACGGGAGGCAGCAGUGGGGAAUAUUGGACAAUGGGCGAAAGCCUGAUCCAGCAAUGCCGCGUGAGUGAUGAAGGCCUUAGGGUUGUAAAGCUCUUUUACCCGGGAUGAUAAUGACAGUACCGGGAGAAUAAGCUCCGGCUAACUCCGUG
rnacentral:rRNA from 1 species